UGGGGAAUAUUGGACAAUGGGCGCAAGCCUGAUCCAGCAAUGCCGCGUGUGUGAAGAAGGCCUUCGGGUUGUAAAGCACUUUUAUCAGGAGCGAAACGCUGUCGGCUAAUACCCGGCGGAACUGACGGUACCUGAGGAAUAAGCACCGGCUAACUUCGUGCCAGCAGCCGCGGUAAUACGAAGGGUGCAAGCGUUAAUCGGAAUUACUGGGCGUAAAGCGUGCGUAGGCGGUUUCUUAAGUCUGCUGUGAAAUCCCCGGGCUCAACCUGGGAAUGGCAGUGGAUACUGGGAGGCUAGAGUGUGUCAGAGGGUGGUGGAAUUCCCGGUGUAGCGGUGAAAUGCGUAGAGAUCGGGAGGAACAUCAGUGGCGAAGGCGGCCACCUGGGACAACACUGACGCUGAGGCACGAAAGCGUGGGGAGCAAACAGGAUUAGAUACCCUGGUAGUCCACGCCCUAAAGCGAUGCGAACUGGAUGUUGGUCUCAACUCGGAGAUCAGUGUCGAAGCUAACGCGUUAAGUUCGCCGCCUGGGGAGUACGGUCGCAAGACUGAAACUCAAAGGAAUUGACGGGGUCAUAGUGUUUCCU
rnacentral:rRNA from 1 species